rnacentral:misc_RNA from 1 species
AGAGGCUGGGAUAGACAUUAAGG